GGGAGGCGGAGCUUGCAGUGAGCCGAGAUUGCGUCACCGCACUCCAGCCUGGGCGACAGAGCGAGACUCCGUCUCAAAAAAAAUGACUGGACAAAAAACACUCUGAUGCAAACAGGCAAGAAACCCAGCAAGGCCUAUCUGGAUUCUCCUUGGCCUGUCUGCAGCAUUCAUUCCUUCUGGGUAUGGAACAGGACCCUCUGGAAUGGGGGCUGUGGCCUACAACAGUUAAACAAGAGACGGAGUUUCUCCAUUUUGGCCAGUUUGGUGUCGACCUCCCGGGCUUAAGCGAUCCACCCACCUCAGCCUCCCAAAGUGUUGGGAUUACAGGCGUGAGCCACUGUAUCCAGCUUGUGAUAUACUUUUAAUAAAUUUCUCUUAAACUUAAAUUAGCAAGUGCUUGUUUAUCAUCCUUCCAAUUAGAGAACCUGGAUUCGGCCAUUAGGAAGUCAAGGGUGGCAUUCAU
rnacentral:lncRNA from 10 species